GCCCUCGUAGCUCAUCGGGACAGAGCGCCGCGCUUCGAACGCGGAGGUACCAGGUUCGAACCCUGGCGGGGGUG
rfam:Actinophytocola xinjiangensis strain CGMCC 4.4663 contig31, whole genome shotgun sequence.